UACAGAGGGUGCGAGCGUUAAUCGGAAUUACUGGGCGUAAAGCGUGCGUAGACGGUUAUUUAAGUCGGGUGUGAAAGCCCCGGGCUCAACCUGGGAAUUGCAUUCGAGACUGAAUAGCUGAGGGUACGGUAGAGGGAAGUGGGAAUUUCCGGUGUAGCGGUGAAAUGCGUAGAGAUGUGGAGGAACACCGAUGGCGAAGGCAGCCUCCUGGGCCAGCACUGACGCUCAUGCACGAAAGCGUGGGGAGCAAACAGG
rnacentral:rRNA from 1 species